rnacentral:rRNA from 1 species
CCUACGGGAGGCAGCAGUGAGGAAUAUUGGUCAAUGGACGAGAGCCUGAACCAGCCAAGUAGCGUGAAGGAUGACUGCCCUAUGGGUUGUAAACUUCUUUUAUAUGGGAAUAAAAUGCUGCACGUGUGGGAUUUUGUAUGUACCAUAUGAAUAAGGAUCGGCUAACUCCGUGCCAGCAGCCGCGGUAAUACGGAGGAUCCGAGCGUUAUCCGGAUUUAUUGGGUUUAAAGGGAGCGUAGGUGGGUUGUUAAGUCAGUUGUGAAAGUUUGCGGCUCAACCGUAAAAUUGCAGUUGAAACUGGCAGUCUUGAGUACAGUAGAGGUAGGCGGAAUUCGUGGUGUAGCGGUGAAAUGCUUAGAUAUCACGAAGAACUCCGAUUGCGAAGGCAGCUCACUAGACUGCAACUGACACUGAUGCUCGAAAGUGUGGGUAUCAAACAGGAUUAGAUACCCGUGUAGUC